CUGCUGCCUUCCGUAGGAGUUUGGACCGUGUCUCAGUUCCAAUGUGGGGGACCUUCCUCUCAGAACCCCUACGCAUCGUCGGCUUGGUGGGCCGUUGCCCCACCAACUACCUAAUGCGCCGCAUGCCCAUCCGUGACCGGAGUCGCCCCCUUUGGCCGGAAAGGGAUGUCCCUUCCCGGCGUCAUGCUGUAUUAGGCGGGAUUUCUCCCGGUUAUCCAUCUGUCACGGCCAGGUUGCAUACGUGUUACUCACCCGUGCGCCGGUCGCCGG
rnacentral:rRNA from 1 species